rnacentral:rRNA from 1 species
CAGCAGCCACGGUAAUACGAAGGGGGCUAGCGUUGUUCGGAUUUACUGGGCGUAAAGCGCACGUAGGCGGACUUUUAAGUCAGGGGUGAAAUCCCGGGGCUCAACCCCGGAACUGCCUUUGAUACUGGAAGUCUUGAGUAUGGUAGAGGUGAGCGGAAUUCCGAGUGUAGAGGUGAAAUUCGUAGAUAUUCGGAGGAACACCAGUGGCGAAGGCGGCUCACUGGACCAUUACUGACGCUGAGGUGCGAAAGCGUGGGGAGCAAACAGGAUUAGAUACCCGCGUAGUCCCUGUCUCUUAUAC